rnacentral:snoRNA from 1 species
UCCAGCGGUUGUCAGCUACCCAUUGCUGCUCAGUGCCUGCGAUAGUGUUAUGCUGCUGGGAGAGAAAUGUGCUGCCAGGUCGUUCCUGGCACCACGGGUGCUGUUCUGGCAUCGGAUGGUGCUGGGUUUUGGCAGCACUCUGCAUGCUUGAGAGUGGAGUAACUCCUUCUCGGUGGGGUUAAUCCUAGAUUGGAUGCAGACAAU